rnacentral:rRNA from 1 species
CCCUUAGAUGUUCUGGGCCGCACGCGCGCUACACUGAUGCAUUCAACGAGUUUCUUCCUGGUCCGAGAGGAGUGGGUAACCUUUUGAAAGUGCAUCGUGAUAGGGAUAGACUAUUGCAAUUAUUGGUCUUCAAUGAGGAAUUCCUAGUAGACGUAGUUCAUCAGACUGCAUCGAUUACGUCCCUGCCCUUUGUACACACCGCCCGUCGCUCCUACCGAUUGAAUGCUCAGGUGAGCCAUUCGGACUUUCAUCAUGCUGGUUUCCAGUUUUGAUGAAGGAAAGUCUUGCGAACCUUAUCAUUUAGAGGAAGGAGAAGUCGUAACA